CCUACGGGAGGCAGCAGUGAGGAAUAUUGGUCAAUGGGCGCGAGCCUGAACCAGCCAAGUAGCGUGAAGGAUGACUGCCCUACGGGUUGUAAACUUCUUUUAUAAAGGAAUAAAGUGAGGCACGUGUGCCUUUUUGUAUGUACUUUAUGAAUAAGGAUCGGCUAACUCCGUGCCAGCAGCCGCGGUAAUACGGAGGAUCCGAGCGUUAUCCGGAUUUAUUGGGUUUAAAGGGAGCGUAGAUGGGUUGUUAAGUCAGUUGUGAAAGUUUGCGGCUCAACCGUAAAAUUGCAAUUGAUACUGGCGGUCUUGAGUACAGUUGAGGUAGGCGGAAUUCGUGGUGUAGCGGUGAAAUGCUUAGAGAUCACGAAGAACUCCGAUUGCGAAGGCAGCUUACUAAACUGCCACUGACAUUGAGGCUCGAAAGUGUGGGUAUCAAACAGGAUUAGAUACCCGAGUAGUC
rnacentral:rRNA from 1 species